rnacentral:misc_RNA from 1 species
UCCGGGUUGGACCCGGCGGUCCCGCCAGACAUGGUAACUGGCAGCGAGGGUUGCGCUCGUUGCGGGACUUAACCCAACACCUCACGGCACGAGCUGACGACAGCCAUGCAGCACCUGUGUCCAGGUUCCCUUUCGGGCACCCCUCCAUCUCUGAAGGGUUCUUGGCAUGUCAAGGGUAGGUAAGGUUUUUCGCGUUGCAUCGAAUUAAUCCACAUAAUCCACCGCUUGUGCGGGUCCCCGUCAAUUCCUUUGAGUUUUAACCUUGCGGCCGUACUCCCCAGGCGGUCAACUUCACGCGUUAGCUUCGUUACUGAGAAAGUGAAUUCCCAACAACCAGUUGACAUCGUUUAGGGCGUGGACUAC